UACGUAGGGGGCAAGCGUUGUCCGGAUUUAUUGGGCGUAAAGAGCUCGUAGGUGGUUCUGUAAGUCGGAUGUGAAAUCUCCAGGCUCAACCUGGAGGGGUCAUUCGAUACUGCCGUGACUAGAGGUCGGUAGGGGAGUGUGGAAUUCCUGGUGGAGCGGUGAAAUGCGCAGAUAUCAGGAGGAACACCCGUAGCGAAGGCGGCACUCUGGGCCGAUACUGACACUGAGGAGCGAAAGCCAGGGGAGCAAACGGG
rnacentral:rRNA from 1 species